AGUUCGGGAACAUGGCUCAGAUUGAACGCUGGCAGGAUGCUUUACACAUACAAGUCGAACGGCAGCACGGACUUCGGUCUGGUGGCGAGUGGCGAACGGGUGGUAAUGUAUCGGAACGUGCCUAGUGGCGAAGAGGGAUAACUACGCGAAAGCCGUAGCUAAUACCAUAUACGCCCUUCGGAAGCCAGGGACCUUCGGGCCUCGCACUAUUAGAGCGGCCGAUAUCGGAUUAGCUAGUUGGUGGGGUAACAGCUCACCAAAGGCGACAGUCCGUAAGCUGGUUUGAGGACGACCAGCCACACUGCAGGACUGAGACGGCUGAACUCCUACGGGAGGCAGCAGUGGGGAAUUUUGGACAAUGGGGGAAACCUGAUCCAGCCAUCCCGCGUGUGCGAUGAAGGCCUUUCAGGUUGUAAAGCACUUUUGGCAGAAAAGCGGCACGGGAUAAUACCCGUGCAGCUGACGAAACCUGGGGAAUAAGCGCAGCCAUACGUGCCAGCAGCCGCGGUAAUACGGCGGUGCAAGCGUUAAUCGGAAUUACUGGGCGUAAAGCGUGCGCAGGCGGUUCGGAAAAGAAGAUGUAAAAUCCCAGAGCUUAACUUUGAGACUGCGUGCAACUACCGAGCUAGAGACUAUUCGAGAGGUGGAAUUCCGCGUACUCGCAGUGAAAUGCGUGAUGUGGAGGAACGCAGAUGGCGAGGCAGCCUCCUGGGAUAACACUGACGCUCAUGCACGAAAAGCGUGGGGAGCAAACAGGAUUAGAUACCCUGGUAGUCCACGCCUAAACGAUAUCCAACUAGCUGUUGUUGGGGCCUUCAAAAGACGCCCGAAAUUGUACCAGCUAACAGAAGUUGACCGCCUGGGGAGUACGGUCGCAAGAUUAAAACUCAAAAUUGACCAGGGACCCGCACAAGCGGUGGAUGAUGUAGUUAAUUCGAUGCAACGCGAAAAACCCUUUACCCUUGACAUGUCUGGAAUCCGAAGGAUUUGGAGUGCUCAUAAGAGAGAACCGGAACACAGGUGCUGCAUGGCUGUCGUCAGCUCAUGUGUCGUGAGAUGUUGGGUUGGUCCCGCGAGCGCAACCCUUGUCAUUAGUUGCUACGAAAAGGAACUGCUCUGGCGGAGAUGCCGGUGACGAGCCGGAGGAAGAAGACAGGGAUGACGUCCAAGUCCUCGCGGCCCUUAUGGGUAGGGCUUCACGUCAUACAAUGAAUUCGGGACGGGGGUCGCCAACCCGCGAGAGAACUAAAUCCCAGAAACCCGAUCGUAGUCCGGAUCGCAGUCUGCAACUCGACUGCGUGAAGUCGGAAUCGCUUCAGCAAUCGCGGAUCAGCAUGUCGCGGUGAAUACGUUCAGGUCUUGUACACACCGCCGUCACACCAUGGGAGUGGGUUUACCGAAGUAGUUAGCCUAACCGUAAGGAGGGCGAUUACCACGGUAGGAUUCAUGACUGGGGUGGGAGUCAUGGUAA
rnacentral:rRNA from 1 species